rnacentral:rRNA from 1 species
AUUGAACGCUGGAGGCAGGCCUAACACAUGCAAGUCGAGCGAGCGGCGGACGGGUGAGUAAUGUCUGGGAACCUGCCUGAUGUAGGGGGAUAACUACUGGAAACGGUAGCUAAUACCGCAUACCAUCAGAUUUGCCCAGAUGGGAUUAGCUAGUAGGUGGGGUAACGGCUCACCUAGGCGACGAUCCCUCGCUGGUCUGAGAGGAUGACCAGCCACACUGGAACUGGGACACGGGCCAGACUCCGACGGUAGGCAGCAUGGGGGAAUAUUGGACAAUGGGCGCAAGCCUGAUGCAGCCAGGCCGCGUGUGUGAAGAAGGCCUUCGGGUUGUAAAGCACGUGAAGCGGGGAGGCGUUAACCGCAGAAGAAGCACCGGCUAACUCCGUGCCAGCAGCCGCGGUAAUUC